AUGAACGCUGGCGGCGUGCCUAAUCCAUGCAAGUCGAGCGAACGGACGAGAAGCUUGCUUCUCUGAUGUUAGCGGCGGACGGGUGAGUAACACGUGGAUAACCUACCUAUAAGACUGGGAUAACUUCGGGAAACCGGAGCUAAUACCGGAUAAUAUUUUGAACCGCAUGGUUCAAAAGUGAAAGACGGUCUUGCUGUCACUUAUAGAUGGAUCCGCGCUGCAUUAGCUAGUUGGUAAGGUAACGGCUUACCAAGGCAACGAUGCAUAGCCGACCUGAGAGGGUGAUCGGCCACACUGGAACUGAGACACGGUCCAGACUCCUACGGGAGGCAGCAGUAGGGAAUCUUCCGCAAUGGGCGAAAGUCUGACGGAGCAACGCCGCGUGAGUGAUGAAGGUCUUCGGAUCGUAAAACUCUGUUAUUAGGGAAGAACAUAUGUGUAAGUAACUGUGCACAUCUUGACGGUACCUAAUCAGAAAGCCACGGCUAACUACGUG
rnacentral:rRNA from 1 species